rnacentral:misc_RNA from 1 species
CAUUUAGGUCAAAAGUCAACUCUUAAAGUGAACUGACCAAAAUGCCCCCCAUCGGGUUAUAGUCCAUCUUUUUCAAUAACACUCGAUGAGUCCUUAGGUUUUGAUUCACUUAAUUGUACUUCUUCCUUUUUCAUUUCUUUGAUUUUCAAAUUCCCAAUAAUUUCUAAUUUAAUCCUUAAUUAAGGUCUCUAUAGAGUUCCAUACCAAUUUAGGGUAGUAACUAAUCUCACAGUCACUUCCUGUGUCGGUCACCAAUCGCCGGGACCUAGGUUCAUUUAAUCAAUUUGUGCUUCAUUUCUCUUAUUUUUAUCCAACCUCUUUUAAUCUUUAUUAAUUUAAUUUAUGACUUCUCUCUGUAAUUUAAUUAUGGUUCUCCACAUUCUAG